rnacentral:rRNA from 1 species
UACGAAAGACCUUACGUCUUUUGGAGCCGGCCGAUGUCUGUAUUAGCUAGUUGGUGGGGUAAGGGCCUACCAAGGCGACGAUCAGUAGUUGGUCUGAGAGGACGACCAGCCACACUGGGACUGAGACACGGCCCAGACUCCUACGGGAGGCAGCAGUGGGGAAUUUUGGACAAUGGGCGCAAGCCUGAUCCAGCAAUGCCGCGUGAGUGAAGAAGGCCUUCGGGUUGUAAAGCUCUUUCAGUCGAGAAGAAAAGGCUGCAGUGAAUAACUGUAGUUUAUGACGGUAUCGACAGAAGAAGCACCGGCUAACUACGUG